rnacentral:rRNA from 2 species
AAAUUGAAGAGUUUGAUCAUGGCUCAGAUUGAACGCUGGCGGCAGGCCUAACACAUGCAAGUCGAACGGUAACAGGAAGCAGCUUGCUGCUUCGCUGACGAGUGGCGGACGGGUGAGUAAUGUCUGGGAAACUGCCUGAUGGAGGGGGAUAACUACUGGAAACGGUAGCUAAUACCGCAUAACG